rnacentral:lncRNA from 1 species
CCCACUCAUACCCCGGCCCACAAUGAACACAUGCAAUGUUUAGAGAUUAGGAUCCAUCUUGAGAAAUUCAUUUAAACACAGCCUUCCUUUCCCAUUUCCAGUUUAAUAAUGCCAUUUUUUUUUCUUUCAACCCUUUCAGAAGACUGAAGGUUAUAAGGACAAUGAUAGCACCAUUGCAUCUAUAACACCUUAUUUAACUACUUUAUAAUUCUAC